GUGAAAUUGAAAUUUGAAAUGUGACCCAGAAAUGGAAAGCGGAUAUAUAUUUUGAGGAGAUCUGUUUUGGAUAUAAACAGAUCUGAUUCCAUCUGAAUAUCGAAGAAUUUGGAGAAAAUUGGAAAUGGGAUUAUGAUUGCGCCAUUCGAGGACUGCUCAAUAGAUGAAGAAAAAAGAUAGAGUGAAGAAGAAGAUCAAGAAGAUGAUGAUGAUGAUGAUGAUGAUCGGAAAGAUCUAACCUCCGACAUCAAUGAACAAUUUUAAUAAUUGUUAUUUAAUAUCUGGUGUGAAUAAUUUUAUGGUGGUGGUGGUGAAGAGAGAGCGAUGUCGUUUUGUGUAUGGUUGAGAAAUAUGAUCAAUUUUAGAAUUUAAUUUCCCUUUUAUUUAUAUCUCAUCAUUUUCUAUUUAUAUUAAAAUAAAUAUCUAUUUUAGAUAAG
rnacentral:lncRNA from 1 species